AUGGGGCAGAGCUGGGCCCUGCUGCAGCUCUACCAUGGUGCUUGGGGGGUCCCUGCGGCUCCAUUCCCGCGCUGGGGGUGCACAAGCUGGGGGGGCCCCUCUGCUCUUCCCUGCCACACAAGUACCCCUCAGCAGAGCCAGGUCACAGCCGGUGCCCUCCUGGCACCCAGGAGCAGGAUGACGACGGGGAACGGCCCUUUUGGGGUGCCCGUUUCCCCUGGGGGGCUGCGGCUGCCCCACCGCCCUGCCCCGCUCUGCGCCACCCCGGCAGCAGCUUCGCCCGCUGCGGGGUCGCAUCCUGCGCCUUCCGGGACGAGGCACUUGGGCAGCGGCACAGAGGAAGGCAGGCUGUGCUGCGGUGUCCCGGCACAGAUGAGAAGCUUUGUUGGGUUUAUUUUUUUUCCCUUAAAUUCCCCUCCACUCCUUUCCCCGUGCUUUUCGCACCCCGACGCCUGGUGCCAUGGCUGGCCUCGGCUCCCAGCCAGGCCAGGAGCGGGGUCUGGGCUCCCACGGAGGGGCUGCAGGGACAUGUCGGGUGGCACCCAGCGCUCAACCCACCACAUUUGUGCCUGGGACCACCACUGGGGCGGGCGCGUGGUCCCGGGGGGGGUCCCUGCGCCCCCAGAGGGUGCCGGCCGGCAGUCACAAGGCAGGGGCACAGGGCACGGGGCUCACACCCUCCCUGCUGCCGAACAAGAGGAGCCUUUCAUGGAGAAGGAGAGCGGGGAGGGAAUGGGGAGAGGGGGGAGAAAACUCAAAGCAGAACCAAAGCAAAAGGUCUGGAAGGAGGGGAUGGAGCUGGGCAAAGCCGGGGCGCAGUGGGGGGGGGGGCUGCAGGGGGGCAGAUGUGGGCAUCCCCACCACAGCCAACGAGGUUUUGUGGGGCAGUGCCAGGGUUGUGCUCAGAGAGAUGGGGAAAGGCUCCUGCAGCCCCAGCCCCCCUGGGAUGGGUCCGACUGCCGCAGCCUGGGGUUUUGGGGGUCCAUGGGGACCCCAGCGUGGCCCCCACCCGCUCAGCAUCGUCCCCCUGCCGCUGGGGAAGCGACAGCAGCUUCGCCCUGA
rnacentral:lncRNA from 1 species